GGACCGGUAGCUUAGCCAGGUUAUAGCGCCACGCUGAUAAACACAUCAACUUCUGGUUGAUGUUCUCACUGAAAUCUCCGCUCAGCGGAGGAAUUCAGAAACGUGGAGACCGCCAGUUCAAAUCUGGCCCGGUCCA
rnacentral:tRNA from 1 species